rnacentral:rRNA from 1 species
AUACGGAGGAUGCGAGCGUUAUCCGGAUUUAUUGGGUUUAAAGGGAGCGUAGGUGGGAUAUUAAGUCAGCUGUGAAAGUUUGGGGCUCAACCUUAAAAUUGCAGUUGAUACUGGUUUCCUUGAGUACGGUACAGGUGGGCGGAAUUCGUGGUGUAGCGGUGAAAUGCUUAGAUAUCACGAAGAACUCCGAUCGCGAAGGCAGCUCACCGGGCCGGAACUGACACUGAUGCUCGAAAGUGCGGGUAUCAAACAGGAUUAGAUACCCUGGUAGUCCGCACAGUAAACGUUGAAUACUCGCUGUUUGCGAUACACUGUAAGCGGCCAAGCGAAAGCGUUAAGUAUUCCACCUGGGGAGUACGCCGGCAACGGUGAAACUCAAAGGAAUUGACGGGG